GACGGGACCGCACAAGCGGUGGAUGAUGUGGUUAAUCGAUGCAACGCGAAAACCUUACCACCUUUGACAGUGUACGGAACUCGCCAGAGAUGGCUUGGUGCUCGAAAGAGAACCGUAACACAGGUGCUGCAUGGCUGUCGUCAGCUCGUGUCGUGAGAUGUUGGGUUAAGUCCCGCAACGAGCGCAACCCUUGUCAUUAGUUGCUACAUUUAGUUGGGCACUCUAAUGAGACUGCCGGUGACAAGCCGGAGGAAGGUGGGGAUGACGUCAAGUCCUCAUGGCCCUUAUAGGUGGGGCUACACACGUCAUACAAUGGCUGGUACAGAGGGUUGCCAACCCGCGAGGGGGAGCUAAUCCCAUAAAACCAGUCGUAGUCCGGAUCGCAGUCUGCGACUCGACUGCGUGAAGUCGGAAUCGCUAGUAAUCGCGGAUCAGAAUGUCGCGGUGAAUACGUUCCCGGGUCUU
rnacentral:rRNA from 1 species